CAUGAUGAGUUACAAGUUGAAGAUAAUAGGUGUUAUUAUUCUGUUUCUGCUGGAUGUGUUGUUUAAAAUUAUUGAAGUACAGGCUCAAAUGAAAGGAGAUCCAGGCGGUUGAGGGCGUGGGGUUUGGUGCUGUCGUUGGAAUUCAGUAGAAUGCUUGGAAUGGUGCAGUUACUAGCGAUGGUGUUUUCCACUAUUAGAAACCAAACAGAAAGAACGUAUAUUGACCAUUACUGAAUAAACAGUA